CAGCGUGAUGGAAAGUGUAGCUGGUGUGAGGGUACUGUAGGCGUGGCCGCACAAAUAAAGCCCAUCCUAACAUAACUUUAUUGGCAUUGUUACAAAAAUGCCUUCUUGUAUUGUAAAUCAGUGUCUCAGCAAAUCGGGUCGCAAAGGACAAAACGAAAACAUAAUUUUGCAUCGUUUUCCAAAGGAUAUACUAAGGAUAAAAAAAUGGCUAGAACAAACAAAACAAAAUUUCACAGAUAUCGACAGUCUAGCGGCUAAUAUAUUAGAGGGUAGUAAACAGGAUAAAUUUAGAAUUUGCUCCUGUCACUUCACCCCAUAUUGCUACGAAGUAAUCAAUUACCAAAAACAUCUUAAACCAGAUGCUGUCCCAACCAUAUUUCCCAUAAUUAAAGAUGGAGAAAGUAUUAUAUCUGAAUCUUUAAAAAAGAAACGGAACAAAAGAAGAAGGGCAGAUUUGAAACCACAGUCAACUUCAAAUGUCCAUUUUGACACCUGUACAAUUGGUGAAGAUUUGAAUGUAGAAGAACCAAAAGUGAAUAGUGGAUUUAGACAUGCAAAUACUCAGACCGACUGUACAAUGAGCAAUUGUGUUAUCAUAUGCAAGAACGAGUAUACAAUAACUACAGCCUACAGUCCAAACUUGGCAACUAGUGUGUUUUUUUUACCAGUAACAACUUCUACUCCUCAAUCUGCAAGACAAUCUACAGGAACAUACCAGGCAGAUGAGUUAGCAUCUCCCCUUAAAGAAGAGAGCGAAUUUACAGAAGUAAUUAUUUCUUAAUCUGGGAGUUUAAGCCAACGAAGACUUGGAUAUACUUGGGCAAGAUCUACCACAAAAAAAACAUUGCUGACGACUUCAUGAAUUUAUCAAUUACUAUAGCAGAAGAACAAGAAGACUAUUUACACCAGGAUGAGAAUUACAUUCCAGAAGUGCCAAGCUUCACAACUU